rnacentral:rRNA from 1 species
GACGAAGGGGGCUAGCGUUGUUCGGAAUUACUGGGCGUAAAGCGUGUGUAGGUGGUUGCCAUAGUCAAGUGUGAAAGCCUUGAGCUCAACUCAAGAAAUGCACUUGAUACUGGGCAGCUAGAGGACCGGAGAGGAUAGUGGAAUUCCCAGUGUAGUGGUGAAAUACGUAGAGAUUGGGAAGAACACCAGUGGCGAAGGCGGCUAUCUGGACGGUUUCUGACACUAAGACACGAAAGCGUGGGGAGCAAACAGG